AUCGCUUCUCGGCCUUUUGGCUAAGAUCAAGUGUAGUAUCUGUUCUUAUCAGUUUAAUCUCUGAUACAUACCCUGAGCACGCUCUGCCUCGUGUGACACUUCCGAGCCUUUUUAGGCGGAAGGAGUUGGCAUUGAUCCUGACCGCGGAUCGGCUCGGUAUUGCAGUACCUCCGAGAUCGGUCCAUCCCCU